rnacentral:rRNA from 1 species
CCUACGGGAGGCAGCAGUGGGGAAUAUUGGGCAAUGUGCGCAAGCCUGACCCAGCAACGCCGCGUGAAGGAAGAAGGCUUUCGGGUUGUAAACUUCUUUUAAGGGGGAAGAGCAGAAGACGGUACCCCUUGAAUAAGCCACGGCUAACUACGUGCCAGCAGCCGCGGUAAUACGUAGGUGGCAAGAGUUGUCCGGAUUUACUGGGUGUAAAGGGCGAGCAGCCGGAGAGACAAGUCAGAUGUGAAAUCCACGGGCUCAACCCGUGAACUGCAUUUGAAACUGUUUCCCUUGAGUGUCGGGGAGGUAAGCGGAAUUCCUUGUGUAGCGGUGAAAUGCGUAGAUAUAAGGAAGAACACCAGUGGCGAAGGCGGAUUACUGGACGAUAACUGACGGUGAGGCGCGAAAGCGUGGGGAGCAAACAGGAUUAGAUACCCCUGUAGUC